AUUGAACGCUGGCGGCAGGCCUAACACAUGCAAGUCGAACGAGUGGCGGACGGGUGAGUAAUGUCUGGGAAACUGCCUGAUGGAGGGGGAUAACUACUGAAAACGGUAGCUAAUACCGCAUACCUUCGGAUGUGCCCAGAUGGGAUUAGAUAGUGGGUGGGGUAAAGGCUCACCUAGGCGACGAUCCCUAUCUGGUUUGAGAGGUUGACCAGCCACACUGGAACUGAGACACGGCCCAGAUCCCUACGGGAGGCAGCAGUGGGAAAUAGUGGACAAUGGGCGCAAGCCUGAUGCGGCACGGCCGCGGGGAUGAAGAAGGUCUUCGGGUUGUAAAGUAUGUUCAGCGGGGAGGCGUUACCCGAAGAAGAAGCACCGGCUAACUCCGUGCCAGUAGCCGCGGUAAUAC
rnacentral:rRNA from 1 species